rnacentral:pre_miRNA from 1 species
CCUACACCCAUGUGUGUAGGACCUCAAAGGAUCACCAUUAAAUUCGGCACAGAUCUUUAGAAAGUCAUCACAUGGGUGUGGGACUUGAAUUUUUUAGAGAUCUGUGUCAAAUUUAAUGGUGAUCCUUUGGGUUCCUACACACAUGGGUGUGGG